GGUCUCUAUGUUUAUUAAAUCCUGCCUUGAAAGUGGGGUGAGGGCAGAAGAAUGUCCGGAGGCUU
rnacentral:tRNA from 1 species